rfam:TPA: Bos taurus chromosome 17, whole genome shotgun sequence.
UCCCCAGUGGUUCAGUGGUAAAGAAUCUGCCUGCAAUGCAGAAGACACAGGUUCCAUCUCUGGUUUGGGAAG